rnacentral:lncRNA from 1 species
UGAUCUUUGUGUUCUCAUUUGAACUCUAAAUCAUGACAUUGAGUUACAUAAAUCAUAAAAAUAUUAUGAAUACAAUAUGAAUUAUUUUAUUUUGCAGUGUUUAUUCGCGCCACUGCUGGGUUUUUCAUUAUUACAUUUAUGUUUGAGUUGUACGUGUCUGUAAACUCACAGACAUCAACAUCGAUUAUUGGUACAGUCGUUCCACUAGAAAAUGGACAGAACGUAAGUCUCGCAGCCGUGGAUUUCGUCGAAAACCUCUUUCGGAAAUUCGCAUACCGUUACACUACGCGUUUAAACGCAAUCAAACAGAAAAUUUUUGUUCAAUCACUCAGUGAAUUGCAGAAAGUCCAUAAUUGUUGGUAAUUCUCAUUCCUGCGAACUAACAACUAAUUCGUUUCAUUGUACAAACAAGAAUCAUACGACGAUUCUUUUAUGAAGGACAGAGUUGUUUCACUCUGGAGCGCUUUUUUCCUUUUAUCUCUUUUUUCGUAUCAAGAUGAAGAAAGCAUAAGAAACGAAUAUUUACGAUUACUCGAGCUUCCAGCCAACAAAACAGAGAUUGCUAAAGUUAGUUAUGGAAAACUCUGGAAUGCAGCAGCCACGAUGUGCAACUCAACACGGAUGUGAUGGUUGUCAAUACUAUCAAAUUUGCAAGAACUUGGAAAAUGCCAUUCGUCACCUCUAACACUACAUCACAUUACUUCUACCUGCUUGAUUCUUUCAAUAAUAAGGUACCUCCGACAAACGUACCGACCAUGCAUACAUCUGGUCGUUUCCGACAUGGCCAGAUCCCUGAUUUACGUGCAACGUUUGUCGAACUUCCUUUCGGGAGCAACGGCGCUGACGAUCCAAUAAGCAUGUUCAUAAUGCGUCCGGAUAUCCCUAAUUUGAUUGAGUUGCGGUAGAACAAUUUUGCAAACCUAAAUCUGAAUUCAUUACUCAACAGUAUGGAAAACGACAUUGAUUUGUAUCUUCCAAAGUUUUCAUUUGUCCAAAAAACAAAGUAGAAGUAACCAGUUUGCUGAACACUGUCGGGGUUAACAGAGCUCGAUUUCUCCCGAAUUAUAGCCUUUUUUCGAGUCAAGAUUAUAUGAUCAUCCGUGAGACACUUUCGGUCGUCGUCAAUGAAACAGGCUACUUCCUUGAAGAAUCGACUGGACUUAUAACCCGGCUUAUCUGCUUUCGAAACGACAAAAAUGAUCGGUUCCAUCGCCAGUAAAAUUUGGGAUGAAUUAUCCUUUUAUUGCGAUCAUUGGAGUCAAAGGGAAAUCCUUCAAUCCUUUAUUGGUUACGAAGUUUGCUGGCCGUGUAUUUGUCCUCGAGUUAGAUGAUCCAUCGUAUUAUAUACUGAAGCAUUCAUAAAAAUGAAUUAUGUUUUUUUGAAAGAUCACGAUUCAAUAGUUGUAAUAAGUAGACAAAAUUGGAUCUCUUAAAAUUUUUUUUAGCGGUUCCAUCAUGGUUUUCUAUUUUUCAUUCAGAUGAAAUAUAUAAGGCAAUUGCAUGUGAGGAUUUGAAAGUUCUUUCAAUUCCCAACGAAUCAGCGAGUCCUGAAGAAACAAGAAAAAAGUGCCAACUUGGGACUUCAGUAGACAUAUGAGACCCAAAUUAAGUACCAAAUGGAACUUUAUUUUUCACUAAAUUGGGAUCUAAUUUGUCGUUAUAAGUCUCGUAUUGGGAUCCGAAAUCCUACGUAGGGUUUUUUAUAGCCCUAUUUGAAUCGAAUUUGGACUGAAUCUGGAACCGAGUAUGGAAGAAAAAAGUCCUAUUUCGGAAUUAAUUAUUCAUUAAAUCGGAAGAUUUCCCAUAAAAAAUAUCGAUGUUAAGGUUCUUGGGUAGAAUUCCUACUUUUUCAUACCAGGAGAGCCAGGACAGUUCAGAUUCGUUCCGUCUCAAAAUUUUGGUGCGGACUCUAUUCCAACUUUUUUUGUUAAAUUUUUGAGCGACGAUUAAUUGAAAAAAAGAAUUUUCUUACUUAGAUUAAAAAAUGAUUUUUCUCCGUUUCCAGAUGAGAAGACUUAUCACUCAUUAUUCAUAAGAAAUAAAAAUUGAGACAAAAUUAUCAGAAUCAAAAAUAGCUUCACUUGCGCAAGAAUUGUAUCGAGUUUCAAGAGUGAGAAAAUAAGUCAACAGCUCAAUUUUUAAUUUAGACCGAAAUAAAAUUAGAUCGUUUUUCAUUCGCAAAAAUGAUUAAUUACAAAAAAUGUCGGAAAUACAAAUUUUCACAUGUGAUUUUAACAAAAUUUCGUAUAUUAUAUUGUGAAUUUAA